rnacentral:rRNA from 1 species
UACCAGCACCCCGAGUGGUCGGGACGUUUAUUGGGCCUAAAGCAUCCGUAGCCGGUUCUAUAAGUCUUCCGUUAAAUCCACCUGCUUAACAGAUGGGCUGCGGAAGAUACUAUAGAGCUAGGAGGCGGGAGAGGCAAGCGGUACUCGAUGGGUAGGGGUAAAAUCCGUUGAUCCAUUGAAGACCACCAGUGGCGAAGGCGGCUUGCCAGAACGCGCUCGACGGUGAGGGAUGAAAGCUGGGGGAGCAAACCGG